UACGGAGGGGACUAGCGUUGUUCGGAAUUACUGGGCGUAAAGCGCACGUAGGCGGAUUUGUAAGUCAGGGGUGAAAUCCCGGGGCUCAACCUCGGAACUGCCUUUGAUACUGCGAAUCUCGAGUCCGGAAGAGGUGAGUGGAACUGCGAGUGUAGAGGUGAAAUUCGUAGAUAUUCGCAAGAACACCAGUGGCGAAGGCGGCUCACUGGCCCGGUACUGACGCUGAGGUGCGAAAGCGUGGGGAGCAAAGCAGG
rnacentral:rRNA from 1 species